rnacentral:rRNA from 1 species
UACGUAGGGAGCAAGCGUUGUUCGGAUUUACUGGGCGUAAAGGGCGCGUAGGCGGCGCGGUAAGUCACUUGUGAAAUCUCUGAGCUUAACUCAGAACGGCCAAGUGAUACUGCAGUGCUAGGAGUGCAGAAGGGGCAAUCGGAAUUCUUGGUGUAGCGGUGAAAUGCGUAGAUAUCAAGAGGAACACCUGAGGUGAAGACGGGUUGCUGGGCUGACACGUGACGCUGAGGCGCGAAAGCCAGGGGAGCAAACGGG